AUGCUCUGGGUUCCCUUCAUCCCGCAUAAAUCUUUCGCCUUUUACUAAAGAUUUCCGUGGAGAGGACCGUUAAAGAGUCUCAAAGAAUUUUUGUAUAGCCUGUUUCAUACAGGCGG
ensembl:snRNA U5 U5 spliceosomal RNA